rnacentral:misc_RNA from 1 species
GAUGAAGAACGCAGCGAAAUGCGAUAAGUAAUGUGAAUUGCAGAAUUCAGUGAAUCAUCGAAUCUUUGAACGCAUCUUGCGCUCCUUGGUAUUCCUUGGAGCAUGCCUGUUUGAGUAUCAUGAGCAAAUCUCAAAGUCAAUUCCUUUUGUUGAUUCAAUUGGUUUUGCUUUGGACUUGGAGGCCUUGCAGAUUUCACAGUCUGCUCCUCUUAAAUGCAUUAGCUGGAUCUCAGUAAUUAUGCUUGGUUCCACUCGGCGUGAUAAGUAUCACUCGCUGAGGACACUGUUAAAAAGGUGGCCAGGAAAAUACUGAUUGAACCGCUGCUAACGGUCUAUUAAGUUAGACAAUUACCCUUAAGUUUGAUCUCAAAUCAGGUAGGACUACCCGCUGAACUUAAGCAUAUCAAUAAGCGGAGGA